rnacentral:tRNA from 1 species
GCACCCCUAGCUCAAUUGGAUAGAGCACCUGGCUACGGACCAGGAGGUUAGAGGUUCGAAUCCUCUGGGGUGUA